rnacentral:rRNA from 1 species
AGCCCGUUAAUGGGUGAUAGCGUGCCUUUUGUAGAAUGAACCGGCGAGUUACGAUUUGUUGCAAGGUUAAGCGGAAAAAGCGGAGCCGUAGCGAAAGCGAGUCUGAAUAGGGCGCAUAAGUAACAGGUCGUAGACCCGAAACCAGGUGAUCUACCCAUGUCCAGGAUGAAGGUAAGGUAAUACUUACUGGAGGUCCGAACCCACGCACGUUGAAAAGUGCGGGGAUGAGGUGUGGGUAGCGGAGAAAUUCCAAUCGAACUUGGAGAUAGCUGGUUCUCUCCGAAAUAGCUUUAGGGCUAGCCUCGAGGUAAAGAGUCAUGGAGGUAGAGCACUGUUUGGACUAGGGGCCCUUCUCGGGUUACCGAAUUCAGAUAAACUCCGAAUGCCAUGUACUUAUACUCGGGAGUCAGACUGCGAGUGAUAAGAUCCGUAGUCGAAAGGGAAACAGCCCAGACCACCAGUUAAGGUCCCCAAAUAUAUGUUAAGUGGAAAAGGAUGUGGGGUUGCUUAGACAACCAGGAUGUUGGCUUAGAAGCAGCCACCAUUGAAAGAGUGCGUAAUAGCUCACUGGUCGAGUGACCCCGCGCCGAAAAUGUACCGGGGCUAAACAUAUUACC